GAUCUGAUAGCAUAAUUGGUUAGUGCACCUGCCCAACAUAUCGCGAAUCCAAGGUUUAAGCAGGAGAUCCCCGUUCGAUUCGGGGUUAGAUCA